rnacentral:lncRNA from 1 species
CAACUCUUCAUUCCCGAAAGGCUUUGGCUCCAUCGAAAUUAUAGAGGCUUCUCACACUGAGGGACACGAAAUGAGUGUCCCAAGGCAAUAAUGGAGAAGGAGAGGGCAUAAAUGCGUCCUCUUAUCUAAUGUACCUGAGCUUGGGAUCCGAUCCUCCGUCCCAAGGCCCGGCCGCCGCUCCCACCACCCGCCUCCUAUUUGCACGCAGUCCUUCUGCCUCCAGCAGCCUUCUCAAAGCGCCUCGCCGUCGUCUGCAUGUUCGGUUUAUCAGUUGCUGGCUUUGUUUCAUUAUUUUAUCUUGUUUGCCUGUGUUCCCUUCUCUCUGUAGUUUCUCCAGGAUCAACUCCAGAUCUGGCAGCGCGGGACCUCUGCAAGGUCAAAGUGACCUGAAAGACAGCAUUUCCACGGACUCAGGGCCUCGCAGCAGCCAUCACAGAGGGGCUGAAGACAGCUUCCGCACGUGCUUCAGGGAGUGGCCAGAACGUGGGGUCCACGCGUUCAAACUAGCGGGGGAAACUCUGAAGCGGAAAGGGCAAUGUAUCUGUUUCUGUGAUAAAUUUUAAAAGUAUAAACAUCUAUCACAUUUUCAUCGCACCUUGUGUACUCGCGCACACACACACCAGAACGUGAGAACCGUGGUGUCUCCCACAAGCUGAGAAAAGACAGCUUACUGAGAUGGCGUUUGGACCAAGAAGUUGUCUGUUGUGACCGACACUGGCUUCUGCCCCUACCUCCCGCCUGCCCUGGCCUGCGUUCCGGUCUCCUCGAGUCUGCUCCAUCCUUAGCCUCUGCGGAGUAACCCAGCCACAUAAAUCCACUUCUGCACAAGGCCUGGGCUGAGGUGGGUGGACCCACAGCUUCCCACCAUUUCAGAGGCUGACAGCUUCCUUCCUGGGGAUUGCUCCUCACGGUGAGAGUUUAUGCGUUCUCCAGGAAACAGCUUCCCUCCCGGUCACCCUGUCUCCCUCCCAACCCCGCCUGCUCUCUCGUCUCUGUGUGGAGGCUACUGGAACGUGAUCGGUUGCUUCUGCAUCUUCCAUCGUUCCGGGCCCCCCAGGAGAGGCCAUCGGUCAGAGCAGAGCUGUCCUUGGAGGACCACAAGGAAGUCGGUGAAGCAAUCAAAGCAAAGCUAUUUUAAAACCCAG